rnacentral:rRNA from 1 species
AUUGAACGCUGGCGGAAUGCUUUACACAUGCAAGUCGAACGGCAGCACGGGGCAACCUGGCGGCGAGUGGCGAACGGGUGAGUAAUACAUCGGAACGUGCCCAGUCGUGGGGGAUAACGUAGCGAAAGUUACGCUAAUACCGCAUACGAUCUAUGGAUGAAAGCGGGGGAUCGCAAGACCUCGCGCGAUUGGAGCGGCCGAUGUCAGAUUAGCUAGUUGGUGAGGCAAAGGCUCACCAAGGCGACGAUCUGUAGCGGGUCUGAGAGGAUGAUCCGCCACACUGGAACUGGGGCACGGUCCAGACUCCUACGGGAGGCAGCAGUGGGGAAUUUUGGACAAUGGGGGCAACCCUGAUCCAGCCAUGCCGCGUGAGUGAAGAAGGCCUUCGGGUUGUAAAGCUCUUUCGGCCGGGAAGAAAUCGUAUGGGCUAAUACCCUGUGCGGAUGACGGUACCGGCAUAAGAAGCACCGGCUAACUACGUGCCAGCCGCCGCAGUAAGAC